ensembl:snoRNA
AGAUCAUCCUACAGAGGGCUUUGGGGGCUGUGAAACCAGGAGCUCUUAACUCCAUGACUGAAGAUUGAAGUUCUCCAUUGGAUGCCACAGUCACUCAAUAGUCCUAAGCUUUUGCAAAGAAAUAUGCAA